AGGUGAACCUGCGGAAGGAUCAUUACUGAGUGAGGGUCUCUCAGGCCCGACCUCCCACCCGAUGUUUUUGUGACCUUGUUGCUUUGGCGGGCCCGCCUCGACGAGAGGCCGCCGGAAGCUCACCGCUUUGGGCCCGUGCCCGCCAGUAGCCCCCUUAAAUUCUUAAUGAACCUGUCGUCUGAGUCCAUGGAUAGAAUGAAAAAAAACUUUCAACAACGGAUCUCUUGGUUCUGG
rnacentral:misc_RNA from 1 species